rnacentral:lncRNA from 1 species
CUCACUCACUAUGGCCCACCUCCAGCACUGACUUCAUCCCACAUGAUCUCGGGAAGAAUGAGAUUGCUUCUCUGCACAAAGACAGGAGAUUACUUGGAGAAACAGCCUCAGAGAAACCUUAGGAUUUCAAUGCUUUUAGCCAACAAGGUUUAAUUAUCUCCAUAACCUUGCAAAAGUAAAGCACAGAGAAGCAUGACGUGGGGGUGAAACCACACUUUGCGAAGAGGUUAAUGCAGAGCAGAGGAAAAUGAAAUCCAUUUCCAACAGAGGAAACUCCAGAUCAGGGACCUCAUGUUCCUUUGCCACCACCACAGCCCCAGGGUCCAGCAGGUGCAGCACACUGAGAAGAGAUGCAUGUGCCUGUUACUCCGUCUGCUGUACGUCAGAUGUACCGUUAGGCCUAGGAGCAUCAGCCUGUCGACAAGCUCACCUGGAUGUCCAUGGGACAGGAGGAACGUCAGCAAGCUGUCUCACCAGGUGUAUUGGUUACCUGUGGGGCUGCCAGAGCAAGUUACCACAAACACAGGAGCUUAAAACAAUAGGAAUUUAUUCUCUCAUGGUUCUGGGGGCCAGAAGUUCCAGAUCAAAGUGUGGCAGGGGUGGUUUCUUCUGAUGGCACUGAGUGUCCGUUCUGUGAUUUGCUCUUGGCUUCUGUCGGUUGCCAGCAAAUCUGGGAUUUCUUGGCAUUCCGUACUCCAGUCUCUGCCCCCUUGGUCUUCUGGUGUUUUCCUUCGUGUGUUUCCGUGUUUUCUCCUUUUCUUACAGGGACACUAGUCCUUGGAUUCAGGACCAAUCCUAAUCCACUGUGAUCUCCUUUUAACCUAAUUACACCUGUAAAGACCUUACUUCCAUCCAAACAAGAUCACAUUCUGUGGAUGUAAUUUUGGUGGGGGGGGAUGCUAUUCAACCCAUAAUACCCUUCAAGCCAAUUGAACGAGUAAGGCCUUCUGGUCCACAGAGAAGUCAAAUAUCUUGAUCUUCUGGCCUCUGUUCUGGCCAGUUGAACUAACAGGCAAUGGGCAUGUGAGUUUAGAAGGACGUGGCAGUAACCAUGCUGUUGUGGAAGAAAAUGAAAGACAUUUACCUUGUUUUACCUUCAGAGCCCUACCCUUCACGGUACCUCUGUAUCUGCAGUGACAUCUUACUUCUUUCUGAUGCAUUUGUUGUCAGAACAUCUUAAAGCUACAGAAAAAUGUCCACAAUUUACCCAAAAUAAACCAUCAAAAAUACUAGCUGCCUCAUCUGAAUUUUUUUUUCCCUCCAUGAACGCACCUCUCCGAUUUUGUUCUGCCUAGGGAAAUUUCCACCGUACCGUUAGCAAAGGACAAGUGUUUGUGCAGAGGAGAAAAAGGUCGGGCAAAGUCAUUGAAACUAAUGUUGCUUCACUCAUGUACAGUGACGACUUUUUACAUUUCACAAAUCAAAAAACAAUUUAAGCUAUUUUAGAUACUUUUUUUUCUAGUUCAAUGGCAUCUAAUUCCUUAAGCCAAAGAAGCAAGUAUUUCCCCCCAAAAAUGAAUACCUAAAAUGACACUACAAAAUAUAGCCUAAGGAUGGAGAUAUCUUUUUUUUAUGAGCAGAGAAAAGAAAAUUGCAUUACCGAACUAGACAAAAAGGCAUUCCCUCAGAACUGUUUUAUCGUUUUUCACUGUACGUAUCUUGCCAGGAGAGAAUUACAUUUAUCAAGCAGCACUGAAAGCUAUUUAUUCCCUUCUUAUUCCAUUAAUUAAACUAUAAUACAAUCACUUGGGUUACCCAUAACCAAUCUUUGGAAGAUUAAUAUAGGAUGCUAUUCUUUUGCUCAUAUUUGUCUUCGGCAGGGUAAUGAG